GAUGAACGCUGACAGAAUGCUUAACACAUGCCAGUCUUUGGCGAAGCUGUGCUUGCACAGCCUAGCCAAGGCGGACGGGUGAGUAACGCGUAAGGAACUUGCCCUGCAGUCAGGGAUAACAGACGGAAACGACUGAUAAGACCUGGUAAAGUCAGGCGGACUCAUGUCCAGCCUGAUGAAAAGAGAUGCUGCAGGAGAGCCUUGCGUCCUAUUAGCUUGUUGGUGGGGUAACGGCCCACCAAGGCGAUGAUAGGUAGCCGGCCUGAGAGGGUGGACGGCCACAAGGGGACUGAGAUACGGCCCUUACUCCUACGGGAGGCAGCAGUGGGGAAUAUUGGACAGUGGGGGCAACACUGAUCCAGCAAUUCUGUGUGCACGAUGAAGGUUUUCGGAGUGUAAAGUGCUUUCAGCAGGGAAGAAAAAAAUGACGGUACCUGCAGAAGAAGCGACGGCUAAAUACGUG
rnacentral:rRNA from 1 species